GACGAACGCUGGCGGCGUGCUUAACACAUGCAAGUCGAACGAAGUGGCGAACGGGUGAGUAACGCGUAAUCAACCUGCCCUUCAGAGGGGGACAACAGUUGGAAACGACUGCUAAUACCGCAUACUGUAGGAGGGGAUUGUGUUGGAUUAGCUAGUUGGAGGGGUAACGGCCCACCAAGGCGAUGAUCAGUAGCCGGGCUGAGAGGGUGAACGGCCACAAUUGGACUGGGAACCGGCCCAGAAUCCUACGGGAGGCAGCAGUGGGGAAUCUUCCGGAAUGGGCGGAAGUCUGACGGAGCAAAGCCGGGGGAGUGAUGACGGCCUUCGGGUGGUAAAGCUCUGUUAAUCGGGACGCGGUACCGGAAUAGAAAGCCACGGCUAACUACGUGCCAGCAGCCGCGGUAAUAC
rnacentral:rRNA from 1 species